rnacentral:rRNA from 1 species
GACGAACGCUGGCGGCGUGCUUAACACAUGCAAGUCGAACGGAAAGGCCCCUUUGGGGGUACUCGAGUGGCGAACGGGUGAGUAACACGUGCGUAACCUGCCCUUGACUUCGGGAUAACUUCAGGAAACUGGGGCUAAUACCGGAUAGGAAUCCUUGCUGCAUGGUGGGGGUUGGAAAGCUUCGGCGGUUUUGGAUGGACUCGCGGCUUAUCAGCUUGUUGGUGGGGUAGUGGCUUACCAAGGCUUUGACGGGUAGCCGGCCUGAGAGGGCGACCGGCCACAUUGGGACUGGGAUACGGCCCAGACUCCUACGGGAGGCAGCAGUGGGGAAUAUUGCACAAUGGGCGGAAGCCUGAUGCAGCACCGCCGCGUGCGGGAUGACGGCCUUCGGGUUGUAAACCGCUUUCAGCAGGGGCGAAGCUUGUGGUGACGGUACCUGCAGAAGAAGCACCGGCUAACUACGUG